GAGUGAAACAGUCUCUGAAACCGUGCGCCUACAAUCCGUCGGAGCCCUUUUGUGGGGUGACGGCGUGCCUAUCGAAAAAUGAGUCUGCGAGUCAGUGGCAUGUGGCGAGCAUAACCCGUGUGGGGUAUGCGUAGCGAAGGCGAGUCUUAAAAGGCGUUUGAGUCGCGUGUCCUGGACCCGAAGCGGGAUGAUCUAGCCCUGGGCAGGUUGAAGCGCGGGUAAGACCGCGUGGAGGACCGAACCCACCUGGGUUGAAAACCGGGGGGAUGACCUGGGGCUAGGGGUGAAAGGCCAAUCAAAUUCCGUGAUAGCUGGUUCUCUCCGAAAUGCAUUUGGGUGCAGCGUCGGGUCAUUACGUCCCGGGGGUAGAGCUACUGGAUGCUUGCGGGCCCGUGUCGGGUACCAAUAGCAGCCAAACUCCGAAUACCGUGGAUGUGUAUUCCGGCAGUGAGUCGGCGGGGGAUAAGCUCCGUCGUCGAGAGGGAGACAGCCCAGACCGUCGUCUAAGGUCCCGAAGCGUGUGCUAAGUGGGAAAGGAUGUGGAGUCGCAUAGACAGCCAGGAGGUUGGCUCAGAAGCAGCCAUCCUUGAAAGAGUGCGUAACAGCUCACUGGUCUAGUGGUUCCGCGCCGACAAUGUAGCGGGGCUCAAGCACACCACCGAAGACGCGGCAGCAAUCUUCAUGGUUGCUGGGUAGGAGAGCGUCCUGCAUGGGGCGAAGCGGCGGUGGAAACCGGCCGUGGACCGUGUGGGAGUGAGAAUGCAGACAUGAGUAGCGAGAGACGGGUGAGGAUCCCGUCCGCUGGAUGACCAAGGGUUCCGGGGCCACGUUCGUCGUCCCCGGGUGAGUCGGGUCCUAAGGCGAGGCCGACAGGCGUAGUCGAAUGGAUGAACGGGUCGAUAUUCCCGUACCGGCUUUCAGCCGCCAAAACCGAGGCUUGGAGUACUAACCUCCGGGUCCGGGCUUACUGCUCCUUCGGGGGCGGGAUGCCCUGGCCUGUUGGGACCGAUCCUUGUAGUAGGUCAGCGCAGGAGUGACGCAGAAGGGUAGCCGGCCGCGGAGGUGGUCUUCCGUGGUCAAGCACGCAGGGCGUGGGACAGGCAAAUCCGUCCCGCAUGGGUCCGAGGUGCGAUGAUGGGGGCCUUAUGGCCCGAUAUCCGGUGAUCCCGGCUGCCGAGAAAAGCUUCGGCGUCAGGCUCAAAGCCGCCCGUACCCCAAACCGACACUGGUGGUCAGGUAGAGAAUACCAAAGCGAUCGAGCGAAUCCUGGUCAAGGAACUCGGCAAAUCACUCCCGUUCCUUCGGUUUAAGGGAGACCCCCGAUGGUGAACACACUUGCUGUGGGAGCUUUUGGGGGUGGCACAGACCAGGGGGUAGCGACUGUUUACCAAAAACACAGGUGCAUGCGAAGGCGCAAGCCGCUGUAUAUGCACUGACGCCUGCCCGGUGCCGGAAGGUUAAGAGGAUCCGUCAGCCUUCGGGUGAAGCGGUGAAUUCAAGCCCCGGUAAACGGCGGUGGUAACUAUAACCAUCCUAAGGUAGCGAAAUUCCUUGUCGGGUAAGUUCCGACCUGCACGAAUGGCGUA
rnacentral:rRNA from 1 species